rnacentral:lncRNA from 1 species
GUGUCUUUCACCUUUACAUCUUCAUUCUAAUCAGCUUCAAAAAGAGAGAACAAGGGCUGGCAGAAGCGGGACCGCCCCUGGUGGCGGAGUCGUGGCGGAGCCACGACGGUGGCCGGUUUCUUUAAAUGGUUAGGGUUUCAAACAUGAGACGUCGGAGAACAAGGCCUUCUGGUUUUGGGGGGUUUUCACUAUGGCCACUUAAUAAUGGUUAGGGUUUCAAACAUGAGACGUCGGUUGUUGAAGGCGUCCGUUCAUGAGCUCCUGUGGUGGCGGCAAUUGUUGAUUGUGCCUAUCUUUCGGUUUCCUUUGUUAGGGGUCGAUGAUAGCUAGGGUUUCCUAUGCUGAGACUCUAACCGACUUUGAUAGGUGGUGGUUACUUUUAUCUACGAUUUAUCGGUCACGAUGUGUUUCUUCAUCUGAGAUGUUCUUGAUUUGAAUAAUGAAACCCUAAGUCGCUUAUGUAUUAUUUUUGCUGGUUAGGGUUUCUGCAGAUCAUGUAGAUUGUAUACAUAUAAAUCUGUGAUUUAUAGAGCUCCUUUGAUGAUGGAGCUACAUGCAUUUGGUCUAUGAUUCUGUUUUUGGCGUUUGGGUUACUGAGUUAGGCGAUGAUGAUUGUGUGGGUGUAAACCGAGUUGGGGAUUUCACCGUGGCGUGGCAUGUUUGAGAGAUGGUAGAUGUUCACCUGCAACCUCCAAUGCAGCCACGGUUAUCUCCUUCAUUUACACCAUCUGAGCCGUAAUGCUCUUUUUAUAUUGGAACUGGUUGCGUUAUAUAUAUGUAUUAAUAGUCACGCAUUUAUCUACUGCUAAUUGGAUGCUUUUCUCUAAUUCUAAGGAUGGGUCAUUAGCUCAGAUUUAGGAAAAUUUUCUACCCUGCAAGACACCGCAUCAGCGGUUAUAAAUGCACGAUUAUACUUGUGGACCUGUUCGGGUUGGAACACAUUUUGGCCAGAGAUUGUUACAGGCAUGCUAAAGGGUGAGCGCAACAAACUUGGCAACCGUGUUGAAAAAGAAGCAGUUGAAGAUGGUUUCUUAGAUUACUAUAGCGGCUAACAAGUGUUUGGUUUUCAAAUCUGAGUCACCUUUAUGAAAUCCAUAAUUAUGAGGUAUACGAAAACGAAAUCUCCUGCCACUCAAGGAUCAAUGGUAUGGCAUUUGUAGCACCCACCUUCAUACGGAAUUAAGUUUGUUAGAUCUUAGUUGCGAAGGUUUUCUAAUUUUUAUGUAUGUUUCCUAUGUAUGCGUUAGGUCAUAUAUAAUACAUUUUGAUUCUGAUUUGACGGUGUUAAUUUGACUUAGUUUGUGUUUUGACCCGCCGCAACACAUGGCGGGUAGGUUUUACAUCUCAGCGUAAAUUAUUUUGU